GACGAACGCUGGCGGCGUGCUUAACACAUGCAAGUCGAACGGAAAGGCCCUGCUUGUGUGGGGUCUUCGAGCGGCGAACGGGUGAGUAACAUGUGAGUAACCUGACUUGGGCUUUGCGAUAACUUCAGGAAACUGGGGCUAAUACCGGAUCGGAGCUCCUGCUGCAUGGUGGGGGUUGGAAAGUUUCGGCGGUUGGGGAUGGACUCGCGGCUUAUCAGCUUGUUGGUGGGGUAGUGGCUUACCAAGGCUUUGACGGGUAGCCGGCCUGGGAGGGUGACCGGCCACAUUGGGACUGGGGUACGGGCCAGACUCCUACGGGGGGCAGCAGUGGGAAAUAUUGCACAAUGGGCGGAAGCCUGAUGCAGCAACGCCGCGUGCGGGAUGACGGCCUUCGGGUUGUAAACCGCUUUCGCCUGUGACGAAGCGUGAGUGACGGUAAUGGGUAAAGAAGCACCGGCUAACUACGUG
rnacentral:rRNA from 1 species